rnacentral:rRNA from 1 species
UACGGGGGGGGGUAAGCGUUGUUCGGAAUUACUGGGCGUAAAGGGCUCGUAGGCGCCAACUAAGUCAUACGUGAAAUCCCUCAGCUUAACUGGGGAACUGCGUCUGAUACUGGAUGGCUUGGAUUCGGGAGAGGAAUGCGGAAUUCCAGUGUGAGCGGUGAAAUGCGUAGAUAUCUGGAGGAACACCGGUGGCGAAGGCGGCAUUCUGGACCGACAUUGACGCUGAGGAGCGAAAGCCAGGGGAGCAAACGGG